rnacentral:tRNA from 1 species
GGGGGUGCGCCACAGUUGGAGAGGUGGGCUGGACUGUAAAUCCAGUGUUUCGACUGAGUAGGUUCGAAUCCUACCACCCCCA